AUGAAUUUCUGUUUUCAGCACACCUUCUCUUCGCUCUUGAAGCAAAAGCCAGGAAGGACUAGUCCGCCGAGAUCCAGGGGUACUAUGGCGAUUUCAAUGAGGGAUGUAGAUCCUGCCUUUCAAGGGGCUGGUCAAAAAGAUGGACUGGAAAUAUGGCGGAUUGAGAAGUUGCAAGCCGUUCCUGUUCCCAGAGAAUCACAUGGAAAUUUUUUUGCAGGAGAUUCCUACAUAAUACUAAAGACAACUGCCCGUAAAAAUGGUUCUUUUCAGCAUGAUAUCCAUUAUUGGCUUGGUAAAGAUACCAGUCAGGAUGAAUCUGGUACAGCUGCAAUCAAGACUGUGGAAUUGGAUGUUGCUCUUGGCGGACGUGGUGUUCAAUACCGUGAAGUACAGGGAAAUGAGACUGAGAAAUUUCUUUCCUACUUUAAACCCUGUAUUAUACCAGAGGAAGGUGGAAUUGCAUCUGGUUUCAGGCACACUGAAAUCAAUGAACGGGAGCAUGUAACACGAUUAUUUGUCUGCAGAGGAAAGCAUACAGUCCAUGUCAAAGAGGUUCCUUUUGCAAGAUCAUCACUCAACCAUGAUGACAUAUUUAUUUUAGAUACAAAGUCCAAGAUAUUCCAAUUCAAUGGAUCGAAUUCUAGUAUUCAAGAGAGGGCUAAAGCCCUUGAGGUUGUGCAAUAUCUCAAAGACACCAACCAUGAAGGAAAAUGUGAUGUAGCUGCAGUUGAGGAUGGAAAGUUGAUGGCAGACGCUGAUGCUGGUGAAUUCUGGGGUCUCUUUGGGGGAUUUGCUCCCCUUCCCCGAAAGACCUUUUCUGAGCCUAAUGGAAAAGAUACUGCUUUCCCUCCAAAGCUGCUCUGGGUCAACAAGGGCCAAACAGUUUCUGUGGAUUAUGAAGUUCUAACAAAAGCGCUGCUAGAUUCAACAAAAUGCUACAUUCUAGAUUGCGGAUCUGAAAUUUAUGUCUGGAUGGGUAGAGAAACAGCGCUUGAAGAUCGGAAACAAGCAGGAUUGGCAGCUGAGGAAUUACUUCGUGAAGGAGAUCGACCAAAAUCUCACAUUAUUCGUCUCAUGGAAGGAUUUGAGACGGUUAUAUUCCGAUCAAAGUUUAAUAAAUGGCCCAAGAAAGCUGAGGCAGUUGUGUCAGAUGAGAGCAGAGGAAAAGUUGCAGCCCUUCUUAAACGCCAAGGAUUUAAUGUUAAGGCUGUAGCAAAAUCUGCUCCUGUGAAGGAAGAGCCUCUACCUCAGAUUGACUGCACAGGGAACUUGCAGGUUUGGCGCGUAAAUGACAGUGAAAAGACUUUUCUUUCAUUCUCUGAGCAAUGCAAAUUCUACAGUGGAGAUUGCUAUAUCUUCCAAUAUAGCUACCCUGGUGAUGAUGGGGAGGAAUGUCUUAUUGGUACUUGGUUUGGAAAAAAGAGUAUUGAGGAGGAGAGGGCUGCAGCCACUUCACUUGCUAAUAAGAUGGUUGAGUCUCUAAAAUUCCAGGCAGUUCUGGUUCGCCUUUAUGAAGGAAAGGAGCCCAUUGAGUUUUUCCCAAUAUUUCAGAAUCUGGUUAUAUUCAAGGGUGGUGCUAGUACUGGGUAUAAGAAGUUUGUCUCAGAAAAUGGCAUUCAGGAUGAUACAUAUUCAGAAAAUGGGGUUGCACUUUUCCGGGUUCAAGGUUCAGGACCAGAUAAUAUGCAAGCAAUUCAAGUUGAUGCGGUGGCACCAUCCCUGAACUCUUCGUACUGUUACAUACUGCAUGAUGGAGAUACGGUAUUUACAUGGAUUGGGAACCUAAGCUCGUCAAUGGACCAAGAGCUCGCUGAGAGGCAACUAGAUGUGAUCAAGCCAAAUCUCCAAUCCAGAAUGCUCAAGGAAGGAUCAGAAUAUGAUCAGUUCUGGAAGAUACUUGGAAUAAAAUCCGAGUACUCCAGCCAGAAGAUUGCAAGAGAUCCAGAAAGUGACGCUCAUUUAUUUUGUUGUACUUUUUUGAAAGGGGUGCUUAAGGUUAGAGAGAUAUUCAACUUCACACAAGAUGAUAUGAUGACAGAGGACAUAUUUAUUUUGGACUGUCAUUCAUGUGUAUUUAUAUGGGUUGGACAAAAUGUGGACACAAAAAUACGUGCACAAGCUUUGAGCAUUGGAGAGAAAUUUCUAGAACUUGACAUUCCAAUGGAAAACUUGUCACGAGAAACACCACUUUAUGUCAUCAAUGAAGGAAGUGAGCCCCAAUUUUUCACCAGGUUCUUCACUUGGGAUUCUGCAAAAACAGCCAUGCAUGGCAACUCAUUUGAAAGGAGGCUGUCUAUAUUGAAGGAUGGAAUAAAACCAAGAAGAGAUAAACCUAAAAGAAGAACAACAACAUCAUCGCACACUGGAAGAUCAAGUGUGCCUGAUAAAUCUCAGCGGAGAAGUACGUCUUUCAGCCCCGAUCGUGUGAGAGUUAGAGGAAGGUCACCGGCAUUCAAUGCAUUGGCUGCAACCUUUGAGAAUUCAAAUGCCCGAAAUCUAUCAACCCCUCCACCAGUUGCAAGAAAAUCAUUUUCGAAGUCUUCCUCCCCUGAUCCUGUAAAGCCACCCCAGAGAGCUGCCUCGAUCGCCGCAAUGUCUGCUUCUUUCGAGCGGCCUAGACAAACUCUGAUACCAAAGUCAAUUAAAGUGAGUCCUGAGGUAAAGAAACCACAAUCUGAAGCAAGCAAACCUAAGCCAGAGGAAGACGCCAAAGAAAGUACCCCUGCUGUGAAGGAUGGGCAAACUGUGACUCCGACAAUACAGGAAGAUGUAAAGGAGGAUCAGCCCGAAGACGAGGAAGGGCUUCCUACAUAUCCGUAUGAUCGCUUGAGGACAUCUUCAAGCAAUCCUGUCACAGACAUUGAUAGUACCAGGCGUGAGACGUAUCUAUCUUCGGCAGAGUUCAGGGAGAAGUUUGGCAUGACAAAGGAGGCUUUUGCAAAGCUACCAAAGUGGAAGCAGAAUAGGCUCAAGAUCGCACUCCAGCUCUUUUAA
rnacentral:rRNA from 1 species